GCGGGCGUGGCGGAAUUGGCAGACGCGCUGGAUUUAGGUUCCAGUGUUUCGACGUAAGAGUUCGAGUCUCUUCGUCCGCACCA
rnacentral:tRNA from 1 species